CUCCUUUAUAAGCAGCUUGCCGGCGAGAGGCGCUAGUUGCAAAGUUUCCGGUUCCGGGGAGGGUGUGACUUCGCGACCAUUUGAAAGUUACGGCGCGAGGGUCUCUGGGUGCUUUCGCCUCAGAGGGUACUGAAAUUGUUAGUGUUCUAGGGUGUGGGUCUCUUGGGUCGUAAGAGCAAGGCUUGGUGUGAGGUGUACUGCCCGGUGAUUCCCGCACUGUCCUGGGACGCAUGCAGAGUCCGUAGGUUACGCCAGGUCCUUACAGCGUCACAGGUAAGCCUCUCCCUGGAGCUGCCAGCCCUGCCUCUGCCAAGAUCGUUCCUAGUGCUUUCCGGAUUUGGUGGUGGGCCAGAGUGGUCCUGUAAUAGGUGGCUUCCUGUUUGAAGGGCUCUCCGAUGAGGAGGAUGACUUUCACCCAGGCCAUUCCUCUGGGACCUCCCCAAUGUCCUCAGGCGUCCAGUCAGGGACGCCCAUCACCAACGAUCUGUUCAGCCAAGCCCUACAGCAUGCGCUGCAGGCCUCCGGGCAGCCCAGCCUUCAGGUCAGUCUUCCCACUCCUGGUGUCCACGCGGCUCUUUGUCACCUUGGACACUGAGCUUUUUGUGCUCUGUGGAGGCCCUUCCCACUUGGCCUGCUUUGCUCCAGGACAGCUGGGCCGUGACAGUGUGACAGGAGAGGAUGCCCGCAGCAAGGGCGGUUGUCCCUGUGGCUUCCACUCCUGCACCCAGUGA
rnacentral:lncRNA from 1 species